rnacentral:rRNA from 1 species
AACCUGGUUGGGUGGUCUGCCUUCACGGUACGUACUGCUUGGCCGGGUUCUACCUCUUGGUGAGCCGGCAUGCCCUUCACUGGGUGUGUCGGGGAACCAGGACUUUUACUUUGAAAAAAUUAGAGUGUUCAAAGCAGGCGCACGCUUGUAUACAUUAGCAUGGAAUAAUAGAAUAGGACU